CUGGUUAACGAAAAAAUCAAGAAAGAACAGAGAAGAAUGCUGCUUCUUCCAAAGAGGGAGGUAGGGAAAAAGAAGCUGUUUCCAUUUCCAAACUCAUUAGUUGGGAGUUAUCCAAAGGCUCAAUGGACUGGAUUCCAAGAUGAUGCCCUCACCUGGCUACGACUGACACAGGAUGUUGUUUAGGAGCUCAGCUGGGGACUGUCAGCUGGGUAGUGUUCCGCACUCACCAAACACACACCUGGAGGCAGAAUGAGAUGGCUCAGAACUCUAACAAAGCAGCUGGUGGAACUGAGCUGUGGGGUAAGGGCUUAUGUCACUAUUUUAUCCUUUGACUAUUCCCUCAUGCUGGUGUGGCCUAGAAAAUUACCUGUUACAUACAAGUAAAAAUUCAGACUCAGAGGACUAAGAUUUACCAUCAUCAAGACAAUUCAAAAGAGUAUGCUGUAGGUUUGAAGACAAUUUCCAGAGAGACACACAUUCUCAGAAUGUUUCCAGUAAUGACAAAAUCAUUGGAAUAAGCGGCUGACCUCCUCCCUGGGGGACUAUGCUCAUUAAGAUGUAUGUGUUCAGGACUGUUAAAAUUCCAGCUCAUUAUCUAAUAGUUGUACCUUGUGCACUUGGAUACCUCUGAAAAUGCUUCCAGCCCUUCCAUUUCAGUCAUAACAACCAACUGACAGUCUCCUAUACUUUUGAGAGGCUUUAAGGGAAGGUUCUUAUAGCAAAGUUAAAAGUGAAAAGGAAAAACUCAAAAGGAAGUACCACUAUUGAUAACCCUGUCUAUUCAUUUCCCUUGAAGUAAUUUAAGACCAUGAGGAAAGAAUUCUUCCUAGCUUUAGGGUCAGUGCUCAAGUCUUCAUUCAUUCUUUUCUCUCUUUAAUUUGCACAUUCCAGCAGGGAAACUGUAUUCCAAUCUCAAGAACAAUUCCAGAGCCCAAGCCAACUGUGCUGUGGAAGCAAUGUGAAUCAAUAUUCAUUGAUCACUAGCAUUUGUUCUUUGGCCUCUAAUUCAAAUGUCCUUUCCACUAGAAGCCUCCUCUAAACUUUCUUUUCCUGUGGUAGAAUCUAAUCAUUCCCACCACCAUAUUCCCUUUCGGUAAAGCAUUUGACUCUGCAUUUAAUUCUUUUUUCUCCCUUUUUAAUUUAUAACUAAAUUAUGAGCAGCUUGAGAUCAAUUAUCAGUUACAUUCAUGCUUAGGUCUCCAGUACCAAGCACAAAGUCUGGCAUCUGAGGGAGUACUCAAUCAAUGUUUGUUCAAUGAAUAAAUGUGGUAAGAGGUCUUCCAGAAGUAUGCCAAUAGGGUGCACUGGAGAGCCAACGAGUUCAGUUUAAUUAUAUCUAAAAUAAGAGAUAUGUCUCUAAGGAAGUAGCUUCACAAAUAUGAGAGGAUAAAAUACACAUGCAAAUAAAAUCUGGACAUUAAAGAAUAUGGUACAGAGAAGGCACUCUAUUUUAUGAGAUUUGAGUGAGUUACAAAACCAGCUCAGGAUCUAAGGAGCAGAGGGAUCUUUUGUUUAUCCACUCAAGUCUAAAAAUCUAAUGUACAUGUGACAAAAUUAAUAUUGUAUCAUUGUAUUAGUGAUUUUUAUUAUAAAAAUAAAUUGUAGCUACUCUCACAAAAAGUGAACAUAUGAGAUGUCAGAUAUGUUGGUCUACUUUACUAUGGUAGACAUUUUACUAUCUAUAUAUAUUUCCUAACAUCAUAUUGUAAACUUCAAAUACACACAGUGAAAUUUAUUUAAAAACUCAUUUGCUGAUCACCUUCUACAAAUUAUAUACUCCUAAUUCUCAUUUAAGAACUUUCAUGUUUCCUGAAAACACUGCCACUAAACUUAAAAACUUAAAUGUCAAAAUAUUUUUAUUCAUAUUGAAGGAAAAAAUUUGUUGUGUUUCAUGUGUAAGAUACCAAACCUAAGGUAUCGAUUUCCGCAGAUACAAAAAUGUACCAAGUUGAAUGAUGAAAACAAAAGUAUUUGUAAGCAUGCACUAUGUUCAUUGCCUCAUUGUUCACAAUAGCAAAGAUAUAGAAUCAAUUUCAGUAUUUAUCAGUGGAUGAAUAGAUGAAGAAAUAUGACAAAUAUGCACUAUGAAAUACAAUUCAGUUUUUAAAAAGAAGAAAAUCCUGUCGAUUACAGCACCAUGGAUGAAUCUGGGGGACAUUACAUCAAGUGAAAUAAGUCAGAAAGAGCAUGACAAAUGGUUCAUGAUCUCACUCAUGUGUGGAAUCUAAAGUUGAACUCACAGAAGAGUAGAAUUGUGACUACCAGAGCCUGGAGGUAGUACUUGGAGAGAUGUUAGUGAAGGGAUACCAAAAAAUCAGUUAGAUAGGAGGAAUAAAUUUAAGAUAUCUAUUGUAUAAGAUGGAGAAUACAGUUAAUAACAAUGUACAGUAAGUCCCUGACUUACAAACAUUCAAGUUGCAAACUUUCACAGAUAUGAAUGGACCUCACAUUUUGAACAUUCAUAGAUAUGAACAAAUCGUGGAUGUAGCUCAUGUGUCCGCUGGACACUGUCACAAUUGUGCUGCUGUGUGCUUACUGUACAGUGCAAUAGUGGACAGUAGUACAGUGCUGAAUCAGAGCUCAGGAUGUCCAGAAGCAAAAAAAAAAAAAAACAGUAGUGGUGAUGUGGAGGGGACUGCUAGGAAGGACAAAGCAAUAUACAUAGUACUGCAUAGAGGUGUAUAAGACUCCUGUUGUCUGACUCACAAACAAAUCUUAUGAACAUUCACCCGGAAUGGAGCUUGUUGGUAUGUUGGAGAUUUAACUGUAAUAUAAUCUUGAAAAUACAGUGGUACCUCAGUUCACAAACUUAAUUUGUUCCAUGAUUCUGGAAAAGAUAGCCACAUUCUUGUUAGUACAGGAAACAUGGCCACGGUUGUGUUUGUGCCUGAAAGAUGUGUGGUCAUGUUCAUCACCUGAUGUACAGUUCACAAACAAAAACAAAAAUUUGCGAAAUUGUUCCCAAACAAAAGCAUGUGUGAACCAAGGUACCACUAUAGAUUAUAAGUGUUCUCACCACAUGAACUUAUAAGCAUGAGAGAUGAUGCACAUGGUAAACAGCAAAAUCUAGCUAUUCCGUAAUGUAUAUAUAUUACAAAUAUUAGUUGUAUCUAUUUAUCAUGCUGUAUAAUAAAUAUAUACAAUUGUAAUUUGUUAAUUAAAAUAAAAAUUUUAAAGUAUUUAUAAAUAAUAAAUUUUGAAAAUAAAUAAAUGUGAUGUAAUACAAGGAUGACGGUGUAGUUUGUGUCACUUUUGAACAGUGUAUUCUUU
ensembl:lncRNA